UCGAAUCCAGAGCAACGCGCUAAUGUAUG
rnacentral:sRNA from 1 species